GAUAAGCAGCGAGGGCUGCGGGGUCACAGCCCAUCACUCAGUGAUGUCACCAUGGGCCAUCUGCCCCAACAGGGCCUGUAGCACUUUGCCCCAGAUGUUACAAAGACUGUUGGGUUGGAUUUGGCACCUCAGCAGAGAGAUGGAGGGAACUUUUUCGUACAGAGUGAUGGGCUAAUGGCUGGAAGCUGAACACCGCGCCAGCCUCGCUGACCCCUCACCAAUGCAUACAGUAUCUUCUGCCAUAAAUAAGAAUUGCAUCUGAGGCUGGUUGUACUGCUUUGCAUCAUCAGGAGUCUGCGAGUCCCCAGGCUACCCUUGCUCCUUCUCACGCUCCCACCGUCUAAGCACACUAGUGCACACGCACGUAUGUGCACACAUCUGGUUGCAGCCUCCUUUGUUUAGACGAUUAAACUGCUGUAAAUGCA